rnacentral:piRNA from 1 species
UGCCUUACCCACCCGUGGAAUGCUAGCCAC